CUACAGUAGGCUCUUUCUCGCCAUCGCUCGACUUUGUUUCUUCCUUUUGACGCCUUGCCUGAAAUUAGUAAUCAGCCAAGAAGCCUUGUCAUUCUUGAUAAUUAACAGUUUACGAGUGUGUCUUGAGAAUAAAAAGCAUCUUCCUGGCGGAAUAAGCUGGAGGUUGAAUUUGGCUUUUCCUUCAGUACAUUUUCUAUGGAAUCUUCACUUUUGUCAUGCUCUUCUGAUGAGGAAUCCUGUGUUACAGGCUGUUGAACUGUUGCUUCUGAGCUCUUAACAGAAGCUGAAUCCUCUGCUGCAAUAACCGAACUAAAUUCAUCGCCGCACAGGUUUUGUCUCAAUUAUACACAGGAAUGACGAUAGUGAGAGGUAGCAGCAACAAUAAGAAGCAAAAGUAGAAGGAUUUUGGUGACUUACUGUGCUUUCAUGAGUCCGACCAGAGCGAGUUUUAGAGAAGACACUCCUAACCA